AGUGAACGCUGGCGGCAUGCCUUACACAGGCAAGUCGAACGGUAACAGGCCGCAAUGUGCUGACGAGUGGCGAACGGGUGAGUAAUGCAUCGGACCGUGCCCAGUCGGGGGGGAUAACUGCUCGCAAGAUCAGCAUAGACCGCAUACGACCUGCGGGUGAAAGCGGGGGGACGUAAGGCCUGGCGCGAUUGGAGCUGCCGAUAUCAGAUUAGCUAGCUGGUGGGGGCAAGGCCUACCAAGGCAACGAGCUGUAGGUGGUCUGAGAGGACGACCCGACACACUGGGACGGAGGCACGGCCCAGACUCCUACGUGAGGCAGCAGUGGGGAAUUUUGGCCAAUGGGCGCAAGCCUGAUCCAGCAAUGCCGCGUGCAGGAAGAAGGCCUUCGGGUUGUAAACUGCUUUUGUCAGGGAAGAAAUCUUCUGGGCUAAUACCCCGGGAGGAUGACGGUACCUGAAGAAUAAGCACCGGCUAACUACGUGCCAGCAGCCGCGGUAAGAC
rnacentral:rRNA from 1 species